rnacentral:rRNA from 1 species
AUUGAACGCUGGCGGCAGGCCUAACACAUGCAAGUCGAACGAGUGGCGGACGGGUGAGUAAUGUCUGGGACACUGCCUGAUGGAGGGGGAUAACUACUGGAAACGGUAGCUACUACCGCAUACCAUCAGAUGUGCCCAGAUGGGAUUAGCUGGUUGGUGGGGUAACGGCUCACCAAGGCGACGAUCCCUAGCUGGUCUGAGAGGAUGACCAGCCACACGGGAACUGAGACACGGACCAGACUCCUACGGGAGGCAGCAGGGGGGAAUAUGGGAAAAUGGGCGCAAGCCUGAUGCAGCCAUGCAGCGGCGAGGAAUAAGGCCUGCGGGUUGUAAAGUACUUUCAGCGUGGAGGCGUUACCCGCAGAAGAAGCACCGGCUAACUCCGUGCCAGCAGCCGCGGUAAUAC